GCCGAAAUAGCUCGGGAGAGCGUUAGACUGAAGAUCUAAAUGUCCCUGGUUCAAUCCGUGUUUCGGCA
rnacentral:tRNA from 1 species